rnacentral:rRNA from 1 species
GAUGAACGCUGGCGGCGUGCCUAAUACAUGCAAGUCGAGCGAACAGACGAGGAGCUUGCUCCUCUGACGUUAGCGGCGGACGGGUGAGUAACACGUGGAUAACCUACCUAUAAGACUGGGAUAACUUCGGGAAACCGGAGCUAAUACCGGAUAAUAUAUUGAACCGCAUGGUUCAAUAGUGAAAGACGGUUUUGCUGUCACUUAUAGAUGGAUCCGCGCCGCAUUAGCUAGUUGGUAAGGUAACGGCUUACCAAGGCAACGAUGCGUAGCCGACCUGAGAGGGUGAGCGGCCACACUGGAACUGAGACACGGUCCAGACUCCUACGGGAGGCAGCAGUAGGGAAUCUUCCGCAAUGGGCGAAAGCCUGACGGAGCAACGCCGCGUGAGUGAUGAAGGUCUUCGGAUCGUAAAACUCUGUUAUUAGAGAAGAACAAAUGUGUAAGUAACUAUGCACGUCUUGACGGUACCUAAUCAGAAAGCCACGGCUAACUACGUG